AAGCAUCAGAUUUUCUUUGCUUCUGAAGGAAGUAAAAUCAAAAUCCUUGAACAAAUUUUAACUAUUUUACAGCCAAUUAACGAAGCAUUCUAAAAUAAUAACAAAAAAAAAAAAAAGUCUUCUUAUUUUAGCAAAUUUUAUUCAUGUAAUCUCUUGAAAUCUUCAAUUAUGGCAAGCCGAUAAAUACGUACAGCACUACUCAUCUAUAUCACGCCUCCUCAGCUUUGUCACCAUAUUUUCCACGGGGAAAAAAAAAAAAAAAAAAAAGGUUCAACCUUGAGUAGCACUUAGAAAUUCUUUGUGAAACAUUCAGCAGCUAAAAGUGCAAUGAGCACAACCAGGUCGUUGUUCUUGGCAAUUCAAAGUAAGACCGAAAGAUGAAGGGAGGCCGGAUGCACAAUAGGCUGCACGCACGCACGCACGCACGUAGCUAGAUGUAUAGGCUCAAACGUCAAACUUGAUUCUGAAUUUUAUAUGUAGAAUUUUGUGCUUCAAAUUUUUAUAUAUCGUUUCAUUUUGCAUGUGCUUGCUGCCCUUUUUAGAUCGUUUUUAGGAAUCGAAGUUUGAUCUUCUCUGCCUCGGGCGCCGGAGAUGAUGACGAGAAUGUUUAUGUUACUUCCAAACGUACAGUGUCUUCAAAAUAAAUGAAAAACUAUCGGAUAUGGGCUCUGAUUGAAUUAUUAGGGCAAAGGCCCAUCUUAUGCAAGCAAUAAUCAUUAAGUAUUGAUUGCAUUUUUUUUUUACCUUAUUAUUAUUAUUUUUUGAAAAGAUGAAACUUGUAUUAUUAGUAUGUUCCUUUAUGUCAUCUAAAGAAUGAAUGAAAAUAUUUGAGUAUAUUAGGGUGAUUGGGAGCACUGAUGAUUACUUUUCAUUUUCUUUUUCCCGUCUUUCUUCCUACAAUUUCUGUUCCAUUUUCCAACUAAUGAAACCAUACUUUCUUGCGUCAAAGUUGUUUGAAAUUCAACAGUGUAUGCUUUGUUUCUCACAAUAUAUAAAAUUUAAGAAAUGAAAACAGUAAUUUCAAUGAUUAAUUUGUUAAUGGCUGUCAAGUGCAGGCAUAGGUGGCAUCUGUAACGCUGUAACUUAGCCAGCUCCCC
rnacentral:lncRNA from 1 species